GAUGAACGCUGGCGGCGUGCCUAAUACAUGCAAGUCGAGCGAACAGACGAGGAGCUUGCUCCUCUGACGUUAGCGGCGGACGGGUGAGUAACACGUGGAUAACCUACCUAUAAGACUGGGAUAACUUCGGGAAACCGGAGCUAAUACCGGAUAAUAUAUUGAACCGCAUGGUUCAAUAGUGAAAGACGGUUUUGCUGUCACUUAUAGAUGGAUCCGCGCCGCAUUAGCUAGUUGGUAAGGUAACGGCUUACCAAGGCAACGAUGCGUAGCCGACCUGAGAGGGUGAUCGGCCACACUGGAACUGAGACACGGUCCAGACUCCUACGGGAGGCAGCAGUAGGGAAUCUUCCGCAAUGGGCGAAAGCCUGACGGAGCAACGCCGCGUGAGUGAUGAAGGUCUUCGGAUCGUAAAACUCUGUUAUUAGGGAAGAACAAAUGUGUAAGUAACUAUGCACGCCUUGACGGUACCUAAUCAGAAAGCCACAGCUAACUACGUG
rnacentral:rRNA from 1 species